GCACGCAGAUGCACAGCAGGCUGAGACAUUCCUGCAUCCUUUUCCAUCCUUCUCCAUUCCCCGUGUUCCCAGCAGGGCAGAGCCGUGUGACACCAAAGGCUGAUGGGUUCCCCGGGAUUCCGGUGGCUGUGUGUUCGCUCCUUCCGUUAAGCAGGUACCCGCAGCACAUUCCUUCCCGCAGUUUCCUGGUGCCCCUCGCUACCCGGCCGCUGAUCCGGCUUGUGCUGAGGCCGCGGCGUGCGGGAGGAACCACCAGGUGGCGACGUCUCUCCGUGCUGCUACUGCGGGCUUUGGUGGCUUUUCCGCCCUUCGCUCAGAAGCAGGAGCAGACGCAGCUUGCUAGCUUGCUGCCUACCGGCACCGCUCAGUGCACGCUGGCAGAGCCGCCCCAUGCAUUGGAGAGGCAGCUUCCCCCUUUGCAGGAGGCACAGCACUGCUGACCUCAUCAGGAUCCCACCUCGUGCGUUGACGUGGAAUGAAGUCACCGUGGAGCUGGGACCCGGCAGUGAGCUGCAGGGCUGUGUGUGACAAAGAGAGCAACCUGAUGGCAGGGGACUGCGAAACCUCCGUGACGUGCUUUGGAGAAAUACGUGGUCAGAGGGUGAAUACGCAGAGGAGAAGAAAUGCUCAGUUUGGGAUGAGCUGCCCUGGUUCUGCAGCCCCAACCGCCAUCUGUUGCGCUGAGCUCCAUCUAGCUCAGGCCAUAACUGUGCUCUCACCAGAUGUUAGCUUACAUGAGCUGCAUGUAAAAGUGAACUGGUGCGAGAGCUGUGGCCCGAAGUGCUUUCAGUAGGGUCUGACCUGCCGCAGUGACGACGUGCUAGCCGGCCUCUCGCUGCGGGGAUGCGCUCCAGAAGUCGCAGGUGUGUGGCUGGAGCUUGGUCAGUGAGUCAGGAUAGGAAAUAUCUUCCAAAGCUCCAAAUAAGACAAAACAAACUGAGCUUUAGCACAUGCUCAACCGAUUGAGCCUUUGGCAAAGUAUGACAUGAAUUUUCAGGGCUCUCACUGAGGCUGCAUCUUGCCUGCUGCGUCCUUCGGCGCCGAUCCUCCAGAACAGGAAAGUGGGAAUAAAGCUACGAGCGCAGAGCUGGCUGCUCACAGAAUAUCUGCAGCGUGAUUGGCACUAAUGCUCUGCAGCCAGUGGGAGAAGAUACGUUACCCAAGUAAGUGAAAUGAGCACCGAGAUGGGGGAUAUAUGAUAACUUCUGAAGCAGAAGGAAUAAGACCUCAGGCAACAGAGCUCCAAACAGCGCGCUGUCUUUUUUCCAUUUCUGAGCCCGUGGUGUUCAAUUAACCCCUUUUCUCUGUGCU